GAUGAACGCUAGCUACAGGCUUAACACAUGCAAGUCGAGGGGAAACGACAUCGAAAGCUUGCUUUUGAUGGGCGUCGACCGGCGCACGGGUGAGUAACGCGUAUCCAACCUGCCCAUCACUUGGGAAUAACCUUGCGAAAGUAAGACUAAUACCCAAUGAUAUCCCACGAAGGCAUCGGAAUGGGAUUAAAGAUUUAUCGGUGAUGGAUGGGGAUGCGUCUGAUUAGCUUGUUGGCGGGGUAACGGCCCACCAAGGCAACGAUCAGUAGGGGUUCUGAGAGGAAGGUCCCCAACAGUGGAACUGAGACACGGUCCAAACUCCUACGGGAGGCAGCAGUGAGGAAUAUUGGUCAAUGGGCGAGAGCCUGAACCAGCCAAGUAGCGUGCAGGAAGACGGCCAUAUGGGUUGUAAACUGCUUUUAUAAGGGAAUAAAGUGGGUCACGUGUGACUUUUUGCAUGUACCUUAUGAAUAAGGACCGGCUAAUUCCGUG
rnacentral:rRNA from 1 species